UACAGAGGUCUCAAGCGUGUUCGGAUUUACUGGGCGUAAAGGGCGCGUAGGUGGUCAGCACAAGUCAGUUGUGAAAUCUCCGGGCUUAACUCGGAAAGGUCAACUGAUACUGUGCGACUAGAGUGCGGAAGGGGCAACUGGAAUUCUCGGUGUAGCGGUGAAAUGCGUAGAUAUCUGAGGAAGACCAGUGGCGAAGGCGGGUUCUCUGGACAGGUUCCUACGUGAGGCGCGAAUGGCCAGGGGAGCAAACGGG
rnacentral:rRNA from 1 species